rnacentral:lncRNA from 1 species
CAGACUCAUUGACUGAGGAGAUGAGAGAGUCUUAAAAGAUAAGACUGGUGUUAGUUUGUCUUUGUGUUGUUAUCAACAAAUCCUGUUGUGAGACCCAAAUCAACUGAAGGGAACAUAAACGUCCGUACCAAAUGUCCUGGCAAUCUAGCCAGUAUUUGUCAAGAUGUUUCAGAGAGCGAAGUUGUGAACUGACAACUGACCAGGCGACCAACACCCAACAAUUUGUCUCCGCUUCCGGCCCCAUGUGUUUCCCAUCUGUCAUUAGUGAUUCCACCUGUGUCUCGUUACCACGCCCAGUUCCUGGUGUAUAUCGUCUGUGUGUUUGGUUCCCCUUGUUGCCAGUUAGUCUUCGUCCCAUGGUUCGUCCCAACCCUGAUCCUGCUUCUGUGACCCGACUCUGCCUUCGCCUACUCCUUGCGUGUUUUGUUUGCCUCGCUGACUGCCUUCCCUUGUACCAACCUGUUUUUGCUGUGCCGUCACUGAACCACCAAGAUAAAUCUGUGUAGUGAAAGAGCCACGCCGCGGAAUGACCAACAUAUAAGACUGUGGUUGAACUGGGAAACUUCCAGUUGUGUGUUGUGCAAAACGGACACUAAAACCUAGCCCAGACGGAAACAUGUGAACUCAGUAAUCAACAAAUUGUUCGAAUCAUCCAUUGAAACCUCUUAACUUCCAUUCUCUGCUCUUGUCAGGCAGUUGGACUGUUAAAAGAUGCGUCCGGGAAUGCAACAACUGUCCUCGCUUUAUUUUGUCUGGAACAUCGUAUUUAUUAACCACAGUCAUCAGCAAAGAAGCGAAGCCUGUGAUGGGGACACACUUGUCUAAACCAGAACAGAUAACUGGUGUAUGUUUCCUGUUUUUCUAUGUGCCAAUCAUUUUUAAUAGUUGAUGCACUGUCUGUGUUGCUCAGGAAUGUGUCAAAUGUUAAGGGAAGAUGUUCUUCUGCCUCCGAAACUCCACAUUAUCUUCAAAUCUGACUUUUUCUCUUUUGACUGAAAAAUAACUUCUAGACAAACAUUGGAAGAAAACUGUCACUACAUUCAGAACUGUUGCUGACAUUAUUGGGGCCACUAUUCCAGCCAUGCAGACAGACUUGGUUUCAUUUGUUCACGUUUUAAAAUAUGGACUUCUGCCUUUUAACCCAAUAAAAUUAAUGGAAAUGAAUUCAGGUUCUAAAAUAUAAACAAUUGAUGUUUCAAAAAUAAAAAAUCCUGUGUUUAUUUGUUCACUGUAAUUGUAUCAAUCCUAACUGUCCACUUCAAAUCUGUAAAUGGAGUUUGAGGAUUUGCUGUAAAGUAAAAAAGUGUAGAAAAGUUGGCAGCUAUUCUCCAGACGACUUUAGAAACUAUGAAUAUUGUUGAACCGCUCACCAGUGCGCAGAAUGUCUGUUACUAAUCCUGUGUUGCAAGAAUGUAUCCACACUGUGCCAGCUGUGCAGAGAAUACGCAGGAUUUUGGAGAGCUGGCAGACAUGCAAGUGAACAUAAUCUGUUGAGAAUAUAGAGGUUGCUUUUGUCUCUGCAAUCUUCACAUACUUCACAUAGUGUUUUAUGUGUUUAUUUUCUCAGUCGUGCGCGCCUACAGAACCCUGGUGCAUCACAUUUUGACCUAUACAGUAUCCAGGUCUGAGCCUGUUUAAUAAGGUCAGGUCACUGGUGUUACAUUAAUAGGUUGGGUAACGCCAAAUAGUCAUUUUCUGAGAGGCUUAACCUCUACCCAACAUUGCCCUAACACUGGAAUAUUCUCAAGCAUUUGUCAUUCUGUUGAUGACUUCUGCAUUUCCAAAAACAACUGUUCCUAUUGGUAGAUACCACUAGAAAAGGUGAACCAACUCUUUACCACGUAGUAGUUGUAUGUGUCAUCCUCAGAUUACCUCAUUGGGUUCUGACAACUGGAAACAAUUACAAUUGAAUAUGGUUUGUAUUUAUUUUCUGGGAUUUAAAAUCUAUUUCUGUGUCUGUGUUUCUGCCAGUACAGCCACUGAGAAGAUUGACGUGUGUGUGUGUGUGUGUGUGUGUGUGUGUGCGCUCGCGCUCCUGAUAACUGCAGAAUAAUGGAUGUGCCAAACCAAUUGAAAAGAGAGGAGGAUUUAUAUUAAAUGGCUCCUAGUGCUAAUUUCAGCUAGAACAUAUGAAUAGAGUUGAUAGGCAGACGUGUGUUGGGAAACAGAAUGCUUGCAGAGUGAGAUAAAGACUUGUGGCCUUCAGUAAAAGCAAUUCUUUGUUCUUCAGUAGAAAGCUCAGGAAUUGAUUGACUUGUGCAACAGGCUGCUUUUACCUCUGAAGGAUCUCGAGCACAUUAUGCGUGGUAUCGAUCUUCUCAUCUCACUCUCGGAAAACGAAAAUAUAAGCACAUUUCCCAAAACGUUAAACUACCAAGAUAGCAAAAGUUGCUAAUUCAACACUGAGUUACAGUCAGAGUGGAUGCUGUGUGGUUAAAGGUUGAACAAUCUAAUAUUUUACAGCAGAAGUUUAACUGCUCAGCAUUAUGUCAUUCAUCUGUCGCCAUCCUGUAGAGAUCAUUUUAUCUUUACAUACUGAAAUCCCUAAUGUUAGAUCACAAGGUUGUUUUAGUCCUGCUGCUCAGACUGAUAACUAAAUGUUGUAUAAGGUUCAUUGUUUUUUACCCAAAAGUACCAAGAUUCAGAUUUGUCUCAUUCUAGUCGUUCCUGCUACAAGAGGACACUGUGCACUGUCGAUAUGUUCAACACGGUCCUCAAAUGGUUAAACUUGAGUGUCGCAAAUGUUAAUGUAAUUUAAAAUGAAGACAUAUAAACUAUAUUCACAGUAGCUGCUAUUUGCAAAGGUACGGUGCACGCGCCCACGCUGGUGUGUUGUCACCACAUCGUUCCCACGUCAUUUACCUAUUUAAAACAAAAGCAGGUGCAGCCUCAGAGUGGAAAUGCAACGCUAUAGGUUUCCACUUGUGUUGAGAAAAGCAAAGUAAGAUCCGCAAAAAACAAGAGAGUAUAUGAUUAGGUAAGGCAUACAAAGGUGGUUCUGAAGUGUUUUGGGAGAAUGCAUCCUUCUUCACUAAUUAGCAUGCAUGUGAUAACAUGAAUGGAUAUUUAAAACCCUGCUCUGCUUCUAUCAUACAGCCUGCUGGCUGAUUAUUAUAACAUGGAAGCAGCCAUAAACACUGGAAUCAUCUUAAUGUUUAAAGAUUAACCAGUGGACUGGAUUUAUGAGUCAUGUUUGUGAGUAGAUUUGAAAUAAACAAGACAUAUAUUCUUGUCAAUACAUCAAGCGUU